UAUCGUUUAUUUGAUAGUACCUUACUACAUGGAUAACCGUGGUAAUUCUAGAGCUAAUACAUGCUAAAAACCCCGACUUCGGAAGGGGUGUAUUUAUUANAUAAAAAACCGACGCCCUCCGGGGCUGCGUGGUGAUUCAUGAUAACUUUACGAAUCGCAUGGCCUUGCGCCGGCGAUGGUUCAUUCAAAUUUCUGCCCUAUCAACUUUCGAUGGUAGGAUAGUGGCCUACCAUGGUGUCAACGGGUAACGGGGAAUUAGGGUUCGAUUCCGGAGAGGGAGCCUGAGAAACGGCUACCACAUCCAAGGAAGGCAGCAGGCGCGCAAAUUACCCAAUCCCAACACGGGGAGGUAGUGACAAUAAAUACUGAUACAGGGCUCUUUAGGGUCUUGUAAUUGGAAUGAGUACAAUCUAAAUCCCUUAACGAGGAACAAUUGGAGGGCAAGUCUGGUGCCAGCAGCCGCGGUAAUUCCAGCUCCAAUAGCGUAUAUUAAAGUUGUUGCAGUUAAAAAGCUCGUAGUUGAACCUUGGGCCUGGCUGGCCGGUCCCCCUAACCGGGUGCACUGGACCGGCCGGGCCUUUCCUCCUGAGGAGCCGCAUGCCCUUCACUGGGCGUGUCGGGGAACCAGGACUUUUACUUUGAAAAAAUUAGAGUGUUCAAAGCAGGCCUACGCUCGAAUACUUCAGCAUGGAAUAAUAGAAUAGGACGUGCGAUCCUAUUUUGUUGGUUUCUAGGACCGCCGUAAUGAUUAAUAGGGAUAGUCGGGGGCAUCCGUAUUGAACUGUCAGAGGUGAAAUUCUUGGAUUUGUUCAAGACGAACUACUGCGAAAGCAUUUGCCAAGGAUGUUUUCAUUAAUCAAGAACGAAAGUUAGGGGAUCGAAGACGAUCAGAUACCGUCGUAGUCUUAACCAUAAACUAUGCCGACUAGGGAUCGGGCGACGUUAUUUUAUUGACUCGCUCGGCACCUUACGAGAAAUCAAAGUCUUUGGGUUCUGGGGGGAGUAUGGUCGCAAGGCUGAAACUUAAAGACAUUGACGGAAGGGCACCACCAGGCGUAAACUAUGUUUCGCUGCAGCAACUNUGCGCCAGACAGCAGCCCGAAAGGGUGAGGUGGUCGUCAUAACUAAAUGCUAGUCGGGCCCCCCUCCAGGGGCCUCGGCGACACGCUCAAAUUGCGGGAAACUCCUAAAGCUCCAGCUACCAAGCGGGUGGUCGAAAGAUCUCCGUGGCCGGGUUAAUCGCCCCGGGUAUGGUAACAAUGUUGGAGAUGUGACAAUGGACAAUCCGCAGCCAAGCCCCUUCUCGCGUGAACGUGCUGGGGAAGGUUCAGAGACUAGACGGGCGUGGGUUGGUUUUAUAAAUGUUUCGUCCGAUUCAAAAUGUUUGGUCACAGAUGGGGGUUUCACGGCUUCUGGGUGAUGGGAUGGAGCAACAAGCUCACAUCACACUUUCUCAUCGGCAAUCAUGUUCUGCGUGCAGCUGCGGUGACUGUGGCGUGACAAGUAAACAUUUUGAUAAGGUAAACAUUUUGGCCAGCUUAAGAUAUAGUCCGGCCACUGGGGAAACCCCAGUGGGUAAGGUCCA
rnacentral:rRNA from 1 species